UCCAAAAGGAGCAUCAAUGAGCCAGAAAGGAAGGACAUUCUUGGACCUCAUGGUUGAAACAUUGUUCCCUAUGGGUAGAUGCUGUGAGUUUAAGAACUGCAAGCUCUCAGGGAAUGCAAUACAAGUUAAGAUUCAAGUUUCCUAACCACAUGUGGCCACUCUGUGCAAACCGAAGGCACUUACCACAAGGAAUGUGUGUGUGUGUGUUUUUAGAGUUUGUAUCCGAAAGAAGGUAGGUCCAUGCAAGUUUGUAGGGUCCCUGCUUUGUGCCCGGCACUGAAAUGGGUCCGGUGGGGGUUAUAUAGGAAGGAAGGCCACAACCUGACAAGUUGAGGACACAUGUUCAAGACUAGAAACCAUUCAGGAACUCUGGGGUCAUAGUGCCAAGUGGUGGUUCAGGCCUAGAGCUGGGAGGCUCAUGGGAUUAGGGAAGCUUCCUGGGACACAGCCUCAUUGUGGGUACCACCAAGGCCAGAGAAGGAGGCUUGGCCUUACUCCUCCCCACAGGGCUGCUCAUCAUGACCACAAGGAAGUGAGGGAGGAGCUACUGCUCAGCCAGAAGGGAGCCACCCCACCAGGCCAUGUAGUCCUGGGGCGUGUGGGUGAAGGUGGACAGAGCAGGCCUGUGAGUAUGGUGAGUAAUGGGGGUGGGGGAGGUAACUUGACUGGAAAUAGCUAGAGACCCUUGAUUCAACUUGGAUCAAAUAGGAGAAUACUCAUUCCAAGUGGCAUCUCUGUAGACUAUGGGCUGCUCUGCCUCCUCCGUGUCCUCCAUUUUCUAACCAGCUCUAGGAGAAAAAGGCUGAAGAAGGAAGGAGCACUGCAGCACAAAGAAAAGUAGAAGUGUGACUCUUGGAGAUUUGGCCCCCUCCUCUUGGUGAGGACUGAAGCCUGUUGUCCAGCUGAGACCCAGGAUAUUUCAGAUGACACCUGGCUUCAAGAAAUGACCCAGAGGGACUGGGCCAUGUGGCUGCCUUCAGCUCUGCUGCUUCUCUGGGUCCAAGGUGAAUGAAAACUGACUGUUGUAGCUUGGAUGACCUCUUGGAAACUCAACAAACAAGGAGGUAGAACAGAAGCACUGAGCAUGUCAUUAGGCCAAUUAACUGGGAUGUCACAUGAAACCAUGACCCUAAACCUCCAAAUCAAAAAAACAAAUCCCAUGAGGUAUUUGGUUGUCCUAUGUAUAUUUUACCACAAUAAAAUUUAAAAAUAAAAAUAAACCUAUGCAAAUAAAUAGUAUAGUGUUAUAAAGCUAUUCAAGUGUAAGAGAUUAUUUAGUGUCUUUAAAAACCAAACCCCCACAGGCAGGAACAAGAUAGCAGAGUAGUCAGGCGUUUCCAGUGGUUCUCUCCUACAACAAAGAUCCCCCCCAAAAAGCAAGAGAAUCAAUAUGACAAUCUAGGAGCCCUGAACAUCAAAGGCAAAGUUGAGGAAUCAGGCUGAGUGGCAGGGGGAGGGACAGAGAGUUUAGAAGCAGCGAGAAGCUGCCGGACCUGACCCGGUGUGAACCUGCACCCCGAAGGCUGGAUCCAAUGCUGUGAGUAUGGUGAGGCAAGCAGUGGUAUUUUGGAUGCAUUUUCUACAUCAGGAGAGACUGAGCAGUGGAGAUUCCACUCAUGCCUCCAGAAUCAGUGAAAAGCGGCACGCAAUCAGCAGAAGAUAAGUGCUUGCAUCUAAUCUACCAUGUGGAGCAAAAAACACCCCUUUGGGAAAAAACUGUCUCCCAUUUACCUGACUCUUCCCCCGUCUCUGCACUGGGUCCUGAGUCAGCUUCAGUGAUAACAUCUUUCCCUGGGCUGGAAAUAGGACCUGUCAGGUGUCCUGAGCCCUUCUCCUGGCCUUGGAGAAGGCAUAAAUUAACAAACAGGGGAAAAAAUAAUCUGCCAGCUCCUGUAAGCCAGGAACUCAGGGCGGAAACAACUCCUUUGCCUAGGCACAGGCAUAAGGGCUCCACAGAUUUGAAUGCUUUUCACCCCUGCACAGACCUGUCUGGGCCCAUUUCAACAGCGUAGGCCUUCAUUAGCACAGUAAAACAGGGCAUAUACCUGAAGUCUAAUUACAGCUGUUUCAGCUAUAUGGUGGAGAGGCAGAUUCAUGACAUUUGACACUGCUCUGUCUAUUAAGCAGGGUCCUGACCUACCCACCUCAGGGGCCUGAGGACUUGUGGCCCCACCCUCACCACCUAGCCACCCAUGAAAGGGGUCCAAGGAUAAGUGGUGCCUCCCAGUCUUUACACACAACAGCACUGGUGCCCAAAGUCCAAUUGCAAAACCCACCCACCUACAUGAACUAGGGAAGAGGGACAUGCUUUCCUCACACACUCUCAGGGGCAGUUGUCAGGCUUCUGCCUUGCUCAGUGCAUGACCCCAUACUGUAGCCAGAUACCUGUGUCUACACCAAUCACCCCUGCUCUUCUAAGACUGUAGGUGAGAAUCUGCACCACACACUUGGUGACUGACCACCUGGACAACUGAGCUGAAUCCAUACAAGAAAAGUAAAUGGACUCCUGGGCUCAUAUACCUAGUAGCAGCUCUAACCACCUGGUAACAGAAUGUUAAAGCUUCAGAGGCGUCAAUAAUCAAACUAGCUCACUUGAGCAGCCUAUAUCAAAACAAAACAAAACAAGAAGUUAGGGCACAGUAAGCAAACAUCAAAUUAAUAAAUACAAUAACUUAUUGAUGGCUUGGAGACAAUAGCCAACAUAAAAUCACUUAAAGAGGCAGACCAUGAUGUUGUCAGCAAGCUCCCAAAACAAAGAAUCAAGAAAUCUUCCAGAUGAAGAGAACUUGCUGGAAUAACCAGAGGUAGAAUACAAACAAUUAAUAUACAGAACUCUCCAAGAGAUCAGGGAGGAGAUCAGGCAAAACACAGAACAAGCCAAGCAGCACACAGACAAAGCAUUAGAGGAAAUUAAGAAGAUUAAAGGAGAGCAUAAUGCCAAAGUUAAUAGGCUGCAAGAAUCCAUAGAGAUAGCAAACAGGAAUCCAAAAGAUUAAUAAUAAAAUUUCAGAAUUACAUAACUCAAUGGAAAGUCACAGGAACAAAAUUGAGGAAAUGAAAGUCAGAAUUAGUGAGAUUGAAGAUAAGCACCUGAAACCACAUAUAUGAGGAAAAAUCAGAUAAAAGAAUUUUAAAACAUUGAAGAAACCCUAAGAAUUAUGUGGGACUCUAUUAAGAGGAAUAACCCAUGAGUGAUUGGAGUACCAGAACUGGGGGGGGGGAGGGGUGAUAAUAGAAAAUUUUUGGAGAAAAUGUCCCUGGUAUCGUGAAAGAUGAGAAGAUAUCUAUCCAAGAUGCUCAAUGAAUCCCACACAAUGUAGAUCCCAAAAGAAAGUCACCAAGACAUAUUAUAAUCAAACUUGCCGAAACCAAAAGAUAAAGAGAGAAUUUUAAGAGUGGCUAGGGAUAAACGAAAAGUCACUACAAAGGAGAGUUAAUAAGACUAAACUCUGACUACUCAGCAGAAACCAUGCGGGUAAGAAGGCAAUGGGGUGACAUAUAUAAAGCCUUGAAGGAAAAAAGUUGCCAGCCAAGAAUUAUAUAUCCAGCAAAACUGUCUUUCGAAUAUGAAGGUGAAAUUAGGACAUUUCCAGAUAAUAGAAGUUUAGGGAAUUCACAAAAACCAAGCUACAAGUACAAGAAAUACUAAAGAAAGUCCUCCAGUUAGAAAAUAAACAACAUCAGAUAACAACCCAAGACUAGAACACAGGACAGAACAACCAGAUAUCAACCCAGAUAGGGAAAUCACAAAAAUAAAUCAAAUCUAAAAUGCUCAAAACAGGGAAACAGAGACCGCAUUAUGUAAAAGAUGACAACAUUAAAACAAAAAAGAGGGAUUAAAAAAUGUAGUCAUAGAUCUUUCAUAUGGAGAAGAAGUCAAGGAGAUAUAAAGAAAGAAAAGAUUGGUUUAAACUUAGAAAAUAUAGGUAAAUAUUAAGGUAACCACAAAGGAAACUAACAAUCCUACACAUCAAAAUAAAAAACAAGAAAAACAUAAAGACUCAGCAAAUACAAAAACAACAAUGAAAAAGAGGAAAAGAAAAUAUAUAAAGAAAAAUGACUCAGCACAGAAAAGGGCGGAAAAAAGAAACUCAACAACACACAUGAAAAAGACAUCACUAAACUCACCUAUGUUUUUUUUAAACUCACCUAUCAAUAAUUAUGCUGAAUGUAAAUGGACUAAAUGCACCAAUAAAGAGACAGAGUGGCAGAAUGGAUUAGAAAAACACCAUCUGUCUAUAUGCUGCCUACAAGAGACACACGUUAGAUUUAAAGACACAAACUAAAACUCAAAGGAUGGAAAAAAUAUAUCAAGCAAACAACAAAAAAAAAGAACAGGAGUGGUGUCAUGGGUUGAAUUAUGCCCCCUAAAAAGGUGUGUAUCAAUUUGGCUGGGCCAUGAUUUCCAGUAUUCCGUGGUUGUCCUCCAUUUUGUGAUUGUAAUUUUAUGUUAAAGAGGAUUAGAGUAGGAUUGUAACACCCUUACCCAGGCCACAUUCCUGAUCCAAAGUAAAGGGAGUUUCCCUGGGGUGUGGCCUGCACCACCUUUUAUCUCUCAAGAGAUAGAAAGGAAAGGAAGCAAGCAGAGACUUGGGGACCUCAUACCACCAAGAAAGCAGCACAGGGACCAGAGAGCAUCCUUUGGACCUGGGGUCCCUGCACCUGAGGAGCUCCUUAACCAGGCGAAGAUUGAUGACAAGGAAUCUUCCUCCAGAGCUGACAGAGAGAAAGCCGUCUUCUGAGCUGACACCCUGAAUUUGGACUUGUAAACUACUGGACUGUGGGAGAAUAAAUUUCUCUUUGUUAAAGCAAUCUACUUGUGAUAUUUCUGUUACAGCAGCACUACAUGACUAAAAUAAGUGGCAAUAUUAAUUUCUGACAAAAUAGACUUUAAAGUAAAAUCUACCACAAAGGAUAAGGAAGGACACUACAUAACAAUAAAAAUGUCAAUAUACCAGGAGGAUAUAACCAUAAUAAAUAUUUAUGCACCUAACAGUAGGGCUCCAAAAUACAGAAAGCAAACUCUAACAGCAUUGAAAAGAGAGAUAGACAGCUCCACAAUAAUAGUAGGAGACUUCAACAUACCACUUUUGGUGAAGGACAGAACAUGCAGAAAGAAGCUCAAUAAAGACACAGAAGAUCUAAAUGCCACAAUCAACCAACAUGACCUCAUAGACAUAUACAGAACACGCCACCCAACAGCAGCCAACUGUGCUUUCUUUUCCAAAGCACUGGGAACAUUCUCCAGAAUAGACCACAUAUUAGGCCAUAAUGCAAGAGUUAACAAAAUCCAAAAUAUCAGAAUAUUACAAAGCAUCUUUUCUGACCAUAAAGCCAUAAAAGUGGAACUCAAUAACAGAAAAACCAAAGAAAAAAUCAACCACAUGGAAACUGAACAACAUCUUGCUCAAAAACUACCGGGUUAUAGAAGAAAUUAAGGAUAGAGUAAAGAAAUUCAUAGAAUCAAAUGAGAAUGAAAACACUUCCUACGAGAACCUUUGGGACAUAGCAAAAGCAGAGCUCAGAGGUCAAUUUGUAAUGAUAAAUGCACACAUUCAAAAAGAAGAAAGGGCCAAAGUCAACGAAUUAUCCCUACAACUCCAACAAAUAGAAAGAGAGCAGCAAAAGCAGACCCUAGGCACCAGAAGAAAGCAAUGAUAAAAAUUUGAGCAGAAUUAAAUGAAAUAGAGAACAGAAAAACAUUUGAAAGAGUUAACAAAACCAAAAGCUGGCUCUUUGAGAAGAUCAACAAAAUCGAUAAACCAUUGGCCAAACUGACAAAAGAAAAACAGGAGAGGAAGCAAAUAACCCAAAUAAGAGAUGAGAUGGGUGAUAUCACAACAGACCCAACUGAAAUUAAAAGAAUCAUAACAGAAUACUAUGAAAAAUUUUACUCUAACUAAUGUGAAAACCUAGAGGAAAUGGAUAAAUUUCUAGAAACACACUACUUACCUAAACUAACACAGAGGUAGAACAACUAAAUAGACCUAUAACAAAAGGAGAGAUUGAAAAAGUAAUUAAAAAACUCCCAACAACAACAACAACAACAACAAAAGCCCUGGCUCGGAAGGCUUCACUGGAGAAUUAGACCAAACUUUCAGAGAAGAGUUAACACCACUACUCCUAAAGGUGUUUCAGAGCAUAGAAAAUGGUGGAAUAUUCCCAAGCUCAUUCUA